AAAGUCGUAACAAGGUUUCCGUAGGUGAACCUGCGGAAGGAUCAUUACUGAAUUGUGGGCUGGUGGGAAGGGGGGAGGUGUGGUUUGUGGAUGGAUUUGUGGAUUAGAUUGUAAGAUUUAACCACCAAUUACCAAUCACCAACCACCAUCAACCUCCCCUAACUACCACUACUUAUAUUUACGCUUGAAUUGUUUGACAGAGUAAAAAUACAUGUAAAAUAAUAGACAACUUUUAACAAUGGAUCUCUUGGCUCUU
rnacentral:misc_RNA from 1 species